CAACUUUCACCAAGGGUUUUCUGGGUUCUGGCUUGGAGGAGGAAGGCAGGGAAAUGCGAUAAGUAAUGUGAAUUGCGGAAUCCAGGGAUUCAUGGAUUCUUGGAAGCCCCCUGCCGCCCUUGGUUAUUCCAAGGGCCAUCCUUGUUGGAGGGCC
rnacentral:rRNA from 1 species